rnacentral:ncRNA from 2 species
ACUAGUAAUAUAAAAACAAAUUCAAUAAGUACAAAUUGGGAAAUUCGGUGUAAAUCCGAAGCUGUGCCGCAACUGUAUUGAUUCAAUGAAUCUAAGCCAGGAUACCAAUUUGUAUGAAGCUCUUACU